rnacentral:rRNA from 1 species
GUACUGUGCAAACGUUAUUCGGAAUCACUGGGCUUAAAGGGUGCGUAGGCGGUCAUUUAAGUAGGGGUGUGAAAUACCCCGGGCUCAACCGGGGAACUGCGCUCUAAACUGAGUGACUUGAGUGAGAUAGGGGUGUGCGGAACUUCCGGUGGAGCGGUGAAAUGUGUUGAUAUCGGAAGGAACACCAGCAGCGAAGGCGGCACACUGGGUCUUUACUGACGCUGAGGCACGAAAGCCAGGGGAGCGAACGGGAUUAGAUACCCCGGUAGUCCUGGCUGUAAACGUUGAGCACUAGUUGGGGGAGGCCUCGAGCAUUUCCCAACGUAGCAAAAGUGUUAAGUGCUCCGCCUGGGGAGUAUGGUCGCAAAGGCUG